rnacentral:lncRNA from 1 species
UCGACGACCGCGCGCGACGGCGGCGCCGGCGCCGGCAUCCCCGACGCGCUCCUCGAACGGAUCUUCCUCCGGCAGGACUCGGCCCUAAGCCUCAUCCGCGCGGCGGCCGCCUGCAGGCGGUGGCGCUGGCGCCGCGUCAUCGGCGGCAGAAUCUUCCUCCUCCGGUUCCGGGGACAACAUAGUUGGACCAGGACGGAGGCCUACACCGUCGGCAGCUACCACGUCGCCGACAACCCCAACUACCGGUGGCCGCGGCGGCGCCACGGCAGCGACGACGACGGCGCCGCCAUCGUCGACCCGUCCACCGACUUCGACAGGCGGCACUUCUCCUCCCUCGACUUCAUCCCCGACGCCAAGUCGUGGCAUGUCGUCGACGGCGUCUCCAGCGUCGUCCUUCUCGCCAAGAAGAGGAUCGGGUGGAAGCGCCGCUGCUUCCCCGACCUCAUGGUGUGCGAGCCCCUCACGCGGCGGCGCCGGGCGAUCACGCCGUUGCCGGAGAUGAGGUCCCACCGCUGCCUCGGCGCGUUCCUGAAGCACGAGCGCGACGUCCGCGUCAACAUGUCGAGGUUCACCGUGAUCUGCGCGCUCUACGAGCGGUACGACGGCGGCGUGCCCGACGACGUGGGCACCGCCAUGGGCUACUCGUUCUGCCGGUGCGAGUGGAGGCGGCGCUGGCAGUGGCGCGUCAGCAAGAUCACCGCCAAGAGCGACGUCCAUCUCCACGGCGCCGAGUCCAACAGCGCCUCCAUGCUCGUCCUCGUCGACGAUUCCAGGUUCUCGCUCGACGCCCUCCCUGCCGGCCUCCGGUGGUCGUCCUCGCCGCAGCACGACGACGAGCCACCGUUCCAUGUCGUCGAUCACGGAGGCGAACCUUACCCGCCCUUCAUUGACAGCCUCGCCGCGCGCAUCGUCGGCUUGUCCGGCGGCGAGCUCAGGGUGUUCUCGCGCUGGCGAGACGAGGACGGGUGGGAGCUCCUGAAUCGCGUCAGCUUGCCGGAGAUCACCCGCGCGCCGCCGCCACAUGCCGAUCGGAACGACGACGAUAGGUUCUCCUCCCUCUCCGGCAACGGCGUCACCGCCAUUCUUGCAUGCCGGCGGCCGUGUUGGGCAAGUGGUCCUGUGGCCGGCGCAGGGGAGGUGGGUGUUCACCGUCGAGCUCGACACCACGACGAUAGAACGCAAGCACGCCAUGGACGAACACGUAGGUGGUUUGGUAUACAAGCACGAGAUGCCAUGGCCAACUCACCUUCAAAGCUUGCGUAG